AAGGGGCCUUGCCUACACGCUGUAGGCCCUGCACAGUCUUAGGAAUCGCCAGGAAGAAUGAACAACUGUCUUUGCGUAUUGAGAUGACACCUGCAAGAAGGAGAUGGCAACACCUGGAGGUAUGCGUGGGUCUGCAAAUUUGUGGCUACGACAGGACACCUGGGAUUUUAGGGAAACACUAAGGAGUCAUUGUGGAUCAUGCAAGGGGCAUUGGACCCUACCAGGCUGGACUUUCAGAGGGGCAGGCAUGCUGAGUUUUAGUUUAGAGUGGUUGCACGGGGGCCUCUUCAUCAUGAAUCUGGAAACCCUCUAUCAUUAAGGAUUAGUUCACAGAUUUCCUGAAAGUAAAAGAAAAAUGGAAAAGGACUGGUGCUCUUAGAAGAGGAAGACACCAGAGCUGUCCCUCUCUCGGCUUGCACUAAGGAGGAGGUCACGUGAGCACACAGUGAGAAGGCGGAGGACCAUCUGCAAGCAGGAAGAGAGCCCUCGCUAGAACCCCCCACGGUGGCAUCUGAUAGUGGACUUCUAGCUUCCAGAACUGAACUCAUAAAUGUCACAUCAGGCUGCCUCUUGGUGAAUUUUUAAUCAACGGGGAGAAUUUCAGCUACAAAUAGACCAAGAAUCAAGAGGCCCACUAUUGAUCGGUCAAAGUGGCACUUAUGAACCUGAGGUUGAAGCAGUUUGGAUAAAAGGAUUCUGGGCUUUCGAUGGCCCCAGAGACAUCUUUUUCCAUCAAGUCCAGGCUUGCUGAUCGGUACAGCUGAGAACAUGUUGAAUUUGAUGUGCCUGUGGAUAUUUGAGUCUGGAACAUUGAAGACAAGUUUGGUCUGGAGAUGUAGACUGGGGAUAUCUCAGCACACAGAUGAUAACUGAAAUGAUGGAGCGGAUGAUAUAAACUGGAGAGAGUCUGGUGUGGGAAGAGUCUUCCCUGAGGUGGCCGAAAGAUGUAAUUCUUACUCCAAAGACUGAAAUAGAGACAAGAGAAGCUGAAGUUACAGGGUUUUGUCAUUGGGAAGACAGUAGAGUGUGUCAUAUCCCAAGAGUGAAGCAAGGACAAACCAAAGAACAACUGGGAAGAUCUGGGAGAAAAAGGGUGAGUGCAGUGGCUAGAAGAAGGGGGAGAAGUUUAUGUGAGGAGCAAAAAACUGGGAGGAGUGAGUGGCUCUGGAUAUUGUCCUUAAAGAAGCUCCAGACUCAAGAGGCCCUUUCACGUGACGGCUGACGUGUGCUUGUAAGGUGGUCGUGGGCACUUUGAAAGGUAGUACUGGGCUGGACUCUAUUAUUCCUAACAUUGCCAGGUGAUCCUUGUGAGGCUAGCUUACAUGGAAAAGGCCUUCAGAUUUUUGUGCUUUGUUGAGCACAUUGUGUUCUGCCUUAGUUUCUCCAAGGUCCUCAUUUUUUUUUUCUUUUUUUCAAGAGACAGGGUCUUACUUUGUUGCCAAGGCUGGCUUCAAACUCCUGACUUCAAGAGAUC
rnacentral:lncRNA from 10 species